AAACACCUGAACACUACUGCAAAGGCAGUAGUCAAGCGAACCUGCACAGCAAAAGUGAAAGAGUUGAUCAAAGAACAUCAUCAAGAGAUUGAAGAAGCAGUUUAGCAAUUUUAUUCCAAACACAGUGACAGCGUGUGUUUGGUGAAACGCUGGGAAGAUUCAGCACCUCACACCUGAGUUGUCCUUUAUGUGGGAUAACCUGAGCAGGUACGUGGAAUUUUGCAAAGUCCCUUUUGACCCAGGAGGAUGAUCUGAGAUGACACAUGGCCUACGUGAUGAAAAGAAGUGACAUGAACGACGUAGAUAUGUAACAUAGCGUUGGGUUACUACUGACCUUCUGACCUUACAUCAGAAGCAGUAUCAUCUGCUUUGGACCCCAGAUGACUGUGAGCAACUGAAAUGAACAGAAAGCAAAACCACAGAUAAGAGAGGACUGUUGUAUCUCAUUUAUGUAGGCAACUCGGGAACAUUAAAAAUAUACAGAAUUCCUAUGA